rnacentral:snRNA from 1 species
GCCUGCUUAGGUAGGAUAAAUGAUAAUAGCGGAACGAUACAGAGAAGAUCAGCAUUUGGCCCUGGGGCAAGAAUGAUCUAAAUGGCAUUAUGAACAUUACAAAACAUUU